ACUGGUCUUGACCUCUUUAUCCCACCGCCAGGAUCAGAUGCAGAUGGCAAGACACCAGUGGCUGAGGGAAGUGGGUGAGGGGGUGCCGUGGCACUUGCAUCCUGCUCGUGGGUUUCCUGUGGGCACAUGAAUGGCCAGCAUGGGAACAGAAUGCUGGACAUGAUGGGACCUGAUCCUGAUCCAGCGUGUUCUUAAAUGUGCAUCAGGAAGCUCGAGAAGAGAUCCUGCCCUUCCUUUUUGUGACAGCCCUUCAAGUAUUGGGAGAGCGCUAGCCUAUCUCCCCUCGGUCUUCUCUUCUCCAGGCGAAAGAUGCCUGCUUCUUUCAGCCUCUUCAGGGCUUGGUUUGCAGGCCCCUCUGUCUCGGGCUCCUUUGAAUGUGGGGGUGAUGUAACGCACGCGAACCCCAUCAACAAACCUUCUGGACGAGGUUUCUAGCUGUGCUGAAAUGGGCCACGAUCUUGUCCACGGAGGCGCUGAUCGCCACAAGCAAUGCUGGGAACGAGCAAAGAGGGAGAGAUAAGUAUUCUUGUGUGCCAUCUGGGGCAAGGCGAAGGGUUGGUUUUCCCUUACAGAUGGGAAAAAGCUGACAGGCCUUUUCCACUGCAGGGAGAGAACCAAGCUGACAAAGAGUUAAGAGAUCCGCCCUUCCCCAGCGUGGUGCUCUCCCAGUGUUUUGGACUGCAGCUCUCCUCAGCAAAGCCCAGGAGGGAUUCUUGGGAAACAGGCUUCACGGUGGAGGUGCCACUGCGAAGAAGGCCGUGCUUUUCUUCUGUGUUUAAAGUUUGAAUGCCUGACCACCAAAAAAGAAAUUGCCAACAAACCACCUUCCCUACAUGCAGAAAUCUAGUGUAUCACCCAGAAAAGUUCAACCGAGCUUCUCCAUCACAUGAAGCACUUGGGAGCCCUCCGUAGAGGAAGAUGAAAAGAAAAAGACAGCUGUGUGAAGACUUGGUCCGUAUCUGCCCUCCACGGAUGGUCCGUGCUCGGGACACCAGCAAAAGACUGAGAAUGCCGGACUGGAAAGGGAAUGGAAAGUCACAUACGGUUAACUGACCUGCUUCUCUGGGGACUCCUCUGGUUCAACCGGUUUCUCUCUCGCACCCUCCUAAGCUUGCUUCUUUGAAUUUUGAGCUGCAGUAUGUCUUGGUCUCGGGCAGAAGUUAUACUUAAAACCCCCUCGCAGAUCACCAACAUAACCUCAAGCUAAUACACAUAUUAAAAUGGCAGGCAAAAGGACUCUAAAUCAACCAGUCAAGUGCUCGCCUAUGGUGAAAAGGCUUUCUUCCAGGUGUUAUGUUUCCCAGUGAGUGUUACAAAGCUGGAGACUCUCCUGUAGCCACACAUUUCAUCUGACUCACCAUCAUCUCGAGCAUGAAAAGGCUCUGCAGGUUCUCGAAACAAAACUCUGCAAGACCUGUUUGAGUGCAGGGGAGCUCUGGUCUAAGCCUGGUUUGCACCCAGGCCCCAGGCUGAGUCUGACUGCAGAUGACAUCCUGCACCACCACAAUUUUCCCUUUCCCAUUUUUCUCGCCCGGAUCCACCCCAACUCUCCAGAGAAGGCCGUACAUGGCACUUGGUGCCAAUUUUUAUUCCUCACAAUAACCUUGCAGAGCAGCCCAGAUGAAGAGACGAUCAGCCAGGUGAUGAUGCGAGCAAGGAUUUGAACCCAGCCUGAAUCGGCCUUCUGGGAAACAAGCAGUCCUAGACUAGAGAGAGGCCACAUUGCAUGGCUUCUCCGGGAAAAUGUGAGCAUGAACCUGGGUGGCGAUCCUGUUGUAUUUAUUCUACUCUCCAGCCCACUCCUUCUGCAGGCAAAAAGCCAAAUGACUGCAGAGGCUCCAGGAAAAGAAGACAAGGUACUUUCUAAGUUCUAAAAGUAUUGUGAACUGUUUCAGAGAACUGUUGGGUGAUGAAUGGUAUGCAAAUAUUUUUAUAGACAAGUAAUGACAACCCACAUUUUAACAAUACCCUGCAAUUCAACAACAAUCCGUAUUCUGGGUUAUUGUUACAUGCAAAGGAGUAAUUAAGAGUUGUGAGAUGCUUAGUGGUCAUCUAGUCCAGCCUUCUGCUCAACCUCAUCAGGAAUCUUGCACGACAGAAGGGCCUCUGCUUAAAUAACUCCAGAAAAGGAGACAGCUCACCACCUAGAGAAGUCAGGUGACCCAGAGGACAAUCCUCUAUUCCUUUAUUUCAGGAGCAGUCCUUUAUUUUGAGCUUGAGCCUCUGUUUAAGGGCUCAUAUCUAAGUCCAGCUUAAAUGUAGACAGACAUCUGAAGGAAAGUGAUGGAAAUAUUCCUUCUCCAGGUUUCUCCUGGACAGUAGAAAGAAAAGCAACCCUGCGAGGGAGGCCAGGAUGAGAG